AGGACCUUUUGGUUGUGAGGUGACAGUGCUAACCACUACACCACUGUGCUGCCCAUCUACACCACUGUGCCGCCCAUUGGUUAUCUUUCAGCAUUGAAAAUUCCAACGACACCCUUAUUUUUGUGUGUUCUGGAUCACAGUAUCCAGAAUUUUGUCCGGAUCACCACCAAAAUGUAAUGGGAUCCUCCUGGGGCUGAGACGCACCUCUGGUGAAAAUUUCAGGUCAAUCCGUCUGUUACUUUCUCUGUAAAGUUGCUAACAGACAAACAAACAAACCAACGCUACCGAAAACAUAACCUCCUUGGCGGAGGUAACAAAC